AGUGAACGCUGGCGGUAGGCCUAACACAUGCAAGUCGAACGGCAGCACAGUAAGAGCUUGCUCUUACGGGUGGCGAGUGGCGGACGGGUGAGGAAUACAUCGGAAUCUACUUUUUCGUGGGGGAUAACGUAGGGAAACUUACGCUAAUACCGCAUACGACCUACGGGUGAAAGCAGGGGAUCUUCGGACCUUGCGCGAUUGAAUGAGCCGAUGUCGGAUUAGCUAGUUGGCGGGGUAAAGGCCCACCAAGGCGACGAUCCGUAGCUGGUCUGAGAGGAUGAUCAGCCACACUGGAACUGAGACACGGUCCAGACUCCUACGGGAGGCAGCAGUGGGGAACAUUGGACAAUGGGCGCAAGCCUGAUCCAGCCAUACCGCGUGGGUGAAGAAGGCCUUCGGGUUGUAAAGCCCUUUUGUUGGGAAAGAAAAGCAGCAGGUUAAUACCCCACUGUUCUGACGGUACCCAAAGAAUAAGCACCGGCUAACUUCGUG
rnacentral:rRNA from 1 species